CAGGGUCUUGCUCUGUCUCCCAGGCUGGAGUGCAGUGGCUCAGUCUUGGCUCAUUGAAACCUUCACCUCCUGGGUUCAAGCGAUUCUCCUGCCUCAGCCUCCUGAGUAUCUGGGAUUACAGCCGUAUGCCACGACGUCCGGCUAAUUUUGUAUUUUUAGUAGAGACAGGGUUUCACCAUGUUGGCCAGGCUGGUCUCAAACUCCUGACCUCAGGUGAUCCGCUCACCUCGGCCUCCCAAAGUGCUGGGAUUACAGGUGUGAGCCACCGUGCCUGGCUUAGGGGCCAUCUUUGAGUUGGCCCUGGCUCUGCUCCCCAGGUCUCAGUGCUGUGUCCCCCCAGAGCCUAGAGGAUGUUUCAUGGGAUCCCAGCCACUCCGGGCAUAGGAGCCCCUGGGAACAAGCCGGAGCUGUAUGAGGUGAGUGGUGGGUGCCCACCCGGCCGGCAUUGGCCAACAGCAAAUGCCUGUGUGGCCUCACCAGGGUCCUGCAGCCCCUGUUGGCACUGGCCCACAGAGCCCGCUCUCUCCGGCAGGAAGUGAAGUUGUACAAGAACGCCCGGGAGAGGGAGAAGUACGACAACAUGGCAGAGCUGUUUGCGGUGGUGAAGACAAUGCAAGCCCUGGAGAAGGCCUACAUCAAGGACUGUGUCUCCCCCAGCGAGCAGGUCCAGGGCUCAGAAAUCAGCUCUAUUGACGA
rnacentral:sRNA from 1 species